UUUGGGCGUCGCACCUCACCGCUGCCCCUGGAUGCGAUUCAGGCGCCGCUGCCACCUUGGAGGCCGGUAAAGAUGGCGGUGGGGAUAAGUGUGAAUUGAAUUCCGCCAUCGCCGUUGCUAUUCGUGCUCCUAUAGAAGCAAUUGCCAAUUCAUCAUAGAAAAAAUGGGCGACGUGUUCGUUUGGGAGUGGUGACAAAUGAGAUGAGCUAAGACAAAACCAGAAUAGGCCAAGGAGAGUGGUCACUUUCUUUGGCCCUCGAGAAUUAAAUGAAAACAGCAUUCAUGAAGGUGUGACUAAAAUGUUAUAAGCUCGAAUGAUAGGCAGAGCGGCUUGUUGAUUGCAGUUUGUAUGCGAGCGUGGUUUAUUUGAAAAAAAUGAAGAAAAAUAAUUCUGGAACAUUAGAGAGAGUGCUGCAGCGUGUUCCACAUAUGAUUGAAAAGAAUAAUCACCUCUCACUUGGACUAGAGUUCAAACAUCAUUUAAUGUUGGGAAAGUUCUAUCAUCUUCUUUAUGCUGCUAUAUUUAAUAAAUGUAGACUUCAAACUAGAAUUUUAAAAUAACAAUAAACUCGGUGUGCUAACAUUCUGUCUAGUAUACAAAGUUUGAUUUUUUGUGUGGCAUGGAUUCUGUUUUGGCGAUUGCGAUUAUGUAUAUUCUCUAGUUAUUUGAGGUGCCACUUUUUUUUCCUUCUCCAUUGAGAAAUUGUGAUCUGAUCCAAUUGGUUAUGUGAGUAUUAUAUAGAUAUAGAAAGGAUCAUACAAGGAUGAGUCCGGUAGAUUGUGUAGUUACCAAUGCCACGACAAUCCAAAUCACUGAAAGGGACCACGUCAAUUUAUUUAUUAAUUCAUGACCGUGGCUGCUUCAUAAAUAUGAGUUUGCAUGCCCUCGAGGACAGGGAAGUGAACAGAGAGAGAGGUAUUUAAGGAUACGACCAUGGAUUAG